rnacentral:rRNA from 1 species
UACGGAGGGUGCAAGCGUUAUCCGGAUUCACUGGGUUUAAAGGGUGCGUAGGUGGGCUUGUAAGUCAGUGGUGAAAUCUCCGGGCUUAACUCGGAAACUGCCAUUGAUACUAUUUGUCUUGAAUAUCCUGGAGGUGAGCGGAAUAUGUCAUGUAGCGGUGAAAUGCUUAGAUAUGACAUAGAACACCUAUUGCGAAGGCAGCUCACUACGGGAUUAUUGACACUGAGGCACGAAAGCGUGGGGAUCAAACAGG